AUCGAACCCGGUACCUCAGCAUUGUGAGGUCGACCACUCGGCCGCCGGGCCGCCUCAUCUUUAUUCUAUAUUUUUAAAACACCCCCCCUGCGAGCUUUGGCACAACAUUGCGGGGAAUAGGUUUCACACUUGAAUUGAAGUUGAAGGUCUCCAAGUGCGCCAUUCACAGCAGUGAUCUGUGAUGGCCCGAGCCAACUUUACAUCAUCCACAAGCGGAGGUCCGCUUGCAGUUCCUUAUCGACGUAGUUUUUGCGGGCUUCAAUCCUCCACAAGGACUCCAGUGAGUCUGUUUCCACUUCUACAAUAUCAAAGUCGAUGUACAUGUCUCCUGUGCUGACUUUAAAGGCAAUGAGUGGAGCUGCUUCCUUUGGCCCGGGAAGCAAUCGACUGUGUUGAUUCGCACAACGGUGCUUUCUAACUGCGCCUGCCGACAAAAAUACCAAAAGAAAGAAAAAUCCAUCCAUGCGCGCAGUCGCAUUGGGCACAAAAAUAGGGCCCAAUAUUUUCUCAUUUAAACGUUGUAGGAUGACUGUUUACCACUUCAAAACAAGAGCUCCGUUGCGAAAGGAACUACGACAAUAUUGUUUAUUCUGUACGACUCUAAUGUUGGAUCACAUGGAGCAGUUGUUGCUUUCUUCAUCUGAAAGAGUUGAUGCUUUCUUUACUUGUUUACUUUGUUUACCCAUCGAAUGGCCACAAGCAUUUGUGGAGGAGUUUGGCAUUUGGCCUAAAUAGGAACAUAAUAAAAUCUGGCACAGAUUCGACAAAAGUCUCAUUCCACAAUCGUUAUUCACUCACAUUAAUGAAGCCAGGUGCAGGGGUUUUCCUUCCUUCACUCGGUGUAGAGAUCAACAAAGUCCAGACACAUGCAAGGUUGUAGCAUCUCCGACAGUACUGGUCCGAUAUUAGAUCAUUCUGCUUUGGUGGUGUCAUAGCAAAGAGAAAAUUCGCCAAUGACUAAAAAGUGUGAUCAGGGGUUGACUUUGCAAGUUGGUGUCUGUUUUAAGGAAUUUGACUCGCACCAAAGUGCCUGCAGAUAAAAACACCCCUCGUUCAAAAUGAUGGUGGCCGACCUUUUUUCAUAAUGUGGACGAUUUGAAUAUCAAUAUUUGUUCAACUCUGGUGUAUUGCUGGAGGGAGUGUUGGGAAUUCAGGGGAGGAGUGAGUGAGUCUGCUGCGAUCUGUUUAGAAUGCCUCUCAUGCUUGGUUUCAUGGAGCUGUUCUGACUGCCAUCCCCCCAGAGUGCCCUUAGCCUGGCUAUGAUGUUGUUUUCCUGGCUUUAAAGUUGAAUCCGGGCUUCACUUAUGCCCUUUGAAUCUCUGAAGGCAAUAAGCCACCCACCGCUUUGCCACGUGUCCGGAGAGCUGACAAGUGGUAAUUAUGCUUCAGACCAUUUCUCUUUAAGAGACGCGACUCUGUUGCUUUGCCCUGCUGUCCAGUGCGGGAACAGCAGGUGGUCAUGGCUCGGGGUCUGCUUCCAGCCAUGAAGGUGGGGGGGAAUUCCAUUUCUUCUUUUCCAUUUACCUUCACCGAGUAUCCUGAUUUUUCUUUUAUUUUUUUCCAGCAGUCUUAACUUCAUUAAAAUUGGGUUCAUACAAUCUUUACCAAAAUGGCUGCUGGCCUCCCAUUUGGUUGGUUAAGAAAAACACAGGAAGGCGAUAUUCUUGAGACCAUUCCUUCAAGAGAGAAGCAUCUACAAGAAGUGAAAACCGUGAUCGGCUCCAGCUCACCCAUGAACAGGAUCAAAAGUAGAUGGAAGGAUAAAUGAAUCGCAUUCCGAAGAAAAGGCCACGAUGGAAAGUAGCCAGAGAGAAUCUUUCUGUUUCCCAUGUACUUGCAAAGCAAGCCGCUGUGGGUAUGUUGCUAAUUUCAGUUGUAUGUUCGACAUGUCAGAGAACGCUUACUGAUUCCUUUGCUAUCAAAAGACGUGAAUUGUGAAAACACUUUGAAACUUCAUUAAACCUGUGGAUAAGGCGGCCAAAACUUCCUCUUGGACCUGAUGUUUCUGUGCUGCCCUGGAACCAAGUCAGUGCAGGUCAAUGGCCAGACAAAAGUAAUUACUGUGGGCCUGGUGAUGUGCCUCCACUCCAUCAUCCAGCUUCUUGUGAGAGGGGGGGGCCGCGGGAAAGCUUUGUUGCACAACCAGCUGAGGCCAACUUACCGAACAUCCCGAAGGAGCUGCGACACAAAAGCAUUGAGCCUCCCCCCACCCGCCUCCUUUUUUUUUUUUUUUUUUAAUCAGCACAUUGAAAGUCACUGUGGGCGGGCAACGGCGUCCGUGGCAUUAUACCGCUCUUCGAUAACAGCCACUUAUCUUCACCGUGCAACAAUCAUCAGCCAAAGGAGGUUUGAUAAGAGUUGAAAAUGUAGAGCGCAUGUGGCCUGCAUGGAAAAAUGGCCUAAUGAAAUAGAAUAGAAAAAGCAAAGAUAAGAUUGCUUAUUAAAAGUCCACAUGAAGGAGACCUUUGAAAUCUUAAGGUGCGUCUUUGUGCUCAAAACGUGUUGAACAAAAGUGUCGCACUGUAGCGUGCCACUAUUGUUUCUAUCAGUACUUGACUAUUCUGUCUUAGUGGUUGCUCUCCGUUUAAAAAGGGCUGUAUGUAAAAAAUGGAAG